CUUGAGGGUGAUUCUGCCUGUACCAGCCUCAGGCUGACCCCACCCAGAUAAACCACUCCUGGCUCUGUAUCAAGGGGCUGGGCUUGGGGCACAUGCUCGUUACCCACACCGGGCAGCCCAGCCGUGGUACCACCUCUGCUUCACACAGGAAGAAACUGAGUCCUAGAGAGGUCAGUGGCCUUGUGGGUCAUCCAGCAAGCCUGAGUAGGAUGCAAACUUCCCCUAGGGUUCCUAGAACAGCCCCAGUCCCAGGAGGGUGGUUGGCUGCAGGCCCAGCCUCACAGCAGGUCUGGACUCAAUUAGCGCCUUCCGCUGUGCUGCAACUGGAGGUCGGCCUUCUGCUUCCCCAGCAGGGCCCUUGGGGAGGGAGCUGGCCUGGAGCCCUAACUGCUCUGCACACCCUCUGCUGGGCCUGGGAU
rnacentral:lncRNA from 1 species